GACCUGGUAGUUCCUGCCUGCCAGCUGUUGGCUGGCCUUUGUGAAAGUCCCCAAUCUUUGAGCCAAUGCCUUGUGGGCAGGUAUCCAUAUCAUGAGGCCAACUGGCACUGUUGGCACCUUUGUUGGGGAGAUGAGCACAGUGGCUUCGGAUAGUGGUGGCUGAUCCACGCUCCCUACCAGCUGGCAGCUCACACUCAACCUCUGUUUGUCAGGAAGCUGGGGAAUGGCUGAGGCCAAACAUCUGAUGGAGAUACACUUGCGUUUUCACAUGACCUUCACAAAUGGGAUUUCUGUAUUUAAACUGAACACUUUCCACCAGAGAGCUGCCGUGUCUUCAUGUGCACAAGUUUUACGGCCAAGGAAACCCACCGUCAUGUGAUGAGCACACAGGAGCAGGAAAGCAGACAUGGAAUCCCUUCCAGUGUCUGCACAUAACUUGGAGCGUGACUUUCUCUUCCCUGCAGGAAGCAGGUAUCUCUGUAGAGAAUUCUAGGGAAAUAUAGCAUUGAAGAUUUGGUGUGGAUUUGAGGGUCAUUUUGACUGGAAUCUCUCAUGGAAUUUGGGAGAAACUGGCUUGUCUGAGACUAGAGAAUUCUUGGAAUUAGCUCAUCUUUCAUGUGCAAAUCAACUAACAGACCCACCAUGGUGAUAAUUUAUCAACCCCUUUAACUCACCCAUGAAACCAACCCUGAAUGAUGUGGUCCUGUGUCAUGUGUCAGGUCCCUUCAUGUGACACAUCUUCACAGUUUAACCCUAACAUGGACCAAGAAAAAGAAAUCACAUCUGAUAGAAGACACUCUUCCUUUGAUCUAGAACCAUGCUGGGAACUAGUGACGUUGGGAUCCCUGUGGACGGAAGCUGAGACUAUGGCAGCAUACACAGGGUGACAGAAUUCUGAACCAGCCAGGGUCCCAGGACUGAGAGGGGCAAGUGGACAGAGGGCUUCACUCCUAACCAAGAAGAUAUCUACAGUUGACACCCCAUGAAAAGGGAAACCAGUUUUCUCCAACGGAAUCUCACUGGAUGAGUGAUCCGCACUACAGGACAGGGGCCAUGUCCAGCAGUAGAUGGCCAACACAAAUGUCUCAAUGGUGACCUUGAACCUGAGCGUUGUUUGUCCUGCAAACCCACUGAGUUCUACAUGUGGCCUCCAGCGUUAGCUUGGACAUGAGCACCCAGGUUCCAUAUAGGGAAACAACAUGGAGGAAGACAGGAAACGGCUUGCCCUCUGUGGAGGGGUGGGGUUCGCUCUGAUUUCUCUGAAAACAUUUGGAGGAAGAAAGAGCCGGGCCCCAAAGCCAAAAGACAACUUUAACCCUCCACUUGCAGAGCCCAAGGUCAACCAAAGGGCACACAGGCAGUACUGAGACCAGAGGGCCGGCCAGCUUUCUUCUCCAGGCUGCCUCUGAGGCUGCAGACAUCGACAGCAGGAAUCCAGGCCCCAAAAGGCUCACUUGCUGGCCCCAAGGCUGACUGGGUACCUGGAAUUGGUGAAGUGGCCUGAGGUGCCCGGCGGGGCUCAGAGGAGACACUGAUACAGACCCCAGCUCCCACGGCAGCGCCGCCCCUUCUUGAAAUCCAAUUUAGACCAUAUCAAAGUUUUCAUAAAGACAUUCCUGAUACCAUUGUGCUGUAAAUCCUGUCUGAUCCGACCUUCAAAUACUUAUGCAAACUGAAAUAUGUCUGGAAAGAAAUCAAAACAAAACAAAUAUGCCACACCAUCGCUUUGUGGCAGUCACCUCCUUCCUCAUUUGCAUUUCAGCUCAGACCUCUCCAACCCGCUCCCAACUGUUUAGGCCAGUUAAUUAGUCAUAAUUGCAGCGACUGUUUCUCUGCAUGCGAUGAUGGCCUUACAUCUGGAAGCCAGCUUAACCCAGAGUUUUCAGCGUGUGUGAACUGUGUUGGUAGCAUUAUUUUUGUGAAAACUCAUUACAGAUAAGUGCAGUUAGGUUAGCCUCCGUCAAGACCUGCUGUAGCAAUGAUUUGCUUUCUUCAAACGUCUCCAGGUUGGUGUGUUCCAGGAGCUGUGACCUCCUCCUCCGCCUCCACUGUCAUUACAGUGGGCUGUUUUCCCCAGGAGCAUUUUGGGUGAAGCACACUAACUCAGUUUCGGAUGCAGUUUGCUAACGAUAAUUUGCGUCACUUGCAAGUUGUAGCAACAUCGAGAUCUCGUGGUCUAUCUUUUGGAUCACGACACCAUAUAAUUAGAGAGAGUGGGAAAUGGGAAAGGAGGGUGACUGUGAACUCAUAUUACUGCUCUGAAACCAAAAGGAAGGCAAGAGGAAGUGGCUAUUUGUGCUAAGGAUGAACUGCUCUUACAUUCCUACAAAGGAACUUGCAACCUUGCAAAUCUAAAGUGGAAAUAAAUGGUCUUUGUUCUCA